rnacentral:tRNA from 1 species
GCGGAUGUGGCGGAAUUGGUAGACGCGCACGGUUCAGGUCCGUGUGGCCGUAAGGUCGUGGAGGUUCAAGUCCUCUCAUCCGCA